UGUGUAUAAGAGACAGCAGCCGCGGUAAUACGGAGGGUGCAAGCGUUAAUCGGAAUUACUGGGCGUAAAGCGCACGCAGGCGGUCUGACAAGUCAGAUGUGAAAUCCCCGGGCUUAACCUGGGAACUGCAUUUGAAACUGUCAGGCUGGAGUCUUGUAGAGGGGGGUGGAAUUCCAGGUGUAGCGGUGAAAUGCGUAGAGAUCUGGAGGAAUACCGGUGGCGAAGGCGGCCCCCUGGACAAAGACUGACGCUCAGGUGCGAAAGCGUGGGGAGCAAACAGGAUUAGAUACCCCCGUAGUCCCUGUCUCUUAUACACU
rnacentral:rRNA from 1 species